rnacentral:rRNA from 1 species
GACGAACGCUGGCGGCGUGCUUAACACAUGCAAGUCGAACGAAGUGGCGAACGGGUGAGUAACGCGUAAUAAACCUGCCCUUCAGAGGGGUACAACAGUGGGAAACGACUUCUAAUACCGCAUUCUGAAGGAGGGGAAUGCGUCUGAUUAGCUAGUUGGAGGGGUAACCGCCCACCAAUGCGAAGAUCGGUGGCCGGUCUUGGCGGAUGAACGGCCACCAUUGGACGUGGAACCCGGCCAGGCUCCCACGGGAGGCAGCAGGGGGGAAACUUCCGGAAUGGACGAAAGUCUGACGGGGCAAAGCCGCGUGAAUGAUUGCGGCCUUCGGGUUGUAAAGCUCUGUUAAUCGGGACGCGGUACCGGAACAGAAAGCCACGGCUAACUACGUGCCAGCAGCCGCGGUAAUAC